GCUGUUCCUUCAGAGCGCGACGCUCGAACUCGCAGAAAAAGACGAGUGCAUUCUUUGUGCCAGUUGAUGUGCAUGUGCUGAUGCGUUUCUCCCAGAUUUGUGUUGUGUGACCCUUGCUUACUAACUGCUGUCGCAACCUUCAGCGUGUGUUUGCCAAGGAGUUUGAACAUCCAAUUGGAGGCAGCUGGUCAAUCAAAUUCCUCUGAAAUCAUCCAAAUCAUUGUUUAGGAAGAUUAUUGAUAAUGCAAUACAGAAUAAGACUAUGUGUUUAGUUUUCUUAUAAACAACUUCAUGAUGGGAACUGGAAUAUAUUUGACUUGUAAAUCACAGAAUGUCUAGGCAUACUGAUGAGCAUGUACUAUUGUCUCCAUAUGCAUUGACUGAAGUGAAAACUGGUUUAUUACCAACUUGUUAAAAAUUUUGCCUGUAUUUUAUACUCUAUCUGAUAUAACUACUUGAUAGGGCUUAGCUUUUCAAUAUAAAAUUCUACUGUUACUAAUUCUAUUGGUAAAAGGAUAUCUUACUCUAUCGAGUCCUCCUCAUAGGUAAAAUUUAUGCCACUUACAGAAUUAUUGGUGAAAUUGUGAAAAACUUCCGUGAAGAUGUAAACUGUACUCCAUAGUCCAGUUGUUCCCAAUGAGUUAGGAGCCUUGCUUUACCUUGGUCAGGGGUUUCAAAAGGUGUUCCUUUCACUGCAUGGAAAAAGACAUACAUCCCCUGGAAAACAAGUGGAUAUAUAAUCAACAUCAAAUGCAAAAUUAGUCUGUUAUAAGCAUUUAGAUAGUCUACAUCUGCGGCUAGGGGCCUCUCCAAACUUCUCCUGGCAGGACUUUUUAGACUGCAUUAUUGUGGUCUAUUUGUUUCUAAUACCUAAUAAGUUUUAAGUUCCUUGGGGGCAGGAUCUGAUUAUCUUUUUCACCCAUGUAUCAGUGUCAAAGCAAGUGCUAAACAAAUAGUUUAAUUAUAGUUAGAAAAAAAAAGAUAAUUCUAGGUUACAUGUGAUAGAUUGUGAUUUAACUUAACAGCUCAAGUUUUAAGCUUUCAUAUUACAGUGAAAGGCUGUGGCCAAUUUCUUUAUGGUAAAAAUAGAAGCCUUCAGGGAUAUAUAAAUACUAUUUGGUAUACUUUUGGUAUAAAAGGUCCACCAAAACCUGUUUACAUCUUUUCAUUUUAAGUGGGGAAAAAAAAAAAAAACAACCCACAAACAAAAAGUAACACUAGGGUAGCUUUA